rnacentral:rRNA from 1 species
UACGUAGGCAGCGAGCGUUGUUCGGAGUUACUGGGCGUAAAGGGUGUGUAGGCGGUUGUUUAAGUUUGGUGUGAAAUCUCCCGGCUCAACUGGGAGGGUGCGCCGAAUACUGAAUGACUUGGAGUGCGGGAGAGGAGAGUGGAAUUCCUGGUGUAGCGGUGAAAUGCGUAGAUAUCAGGAGGAACACCGGUGGUGUAGACGGCUCUCUGGACCGUAACUGACGCUGAGACACGAAAGCUAGGGUAGCAAACGGG